CACCUACUGCUUUUUUUGAUCGGUUUUAAUUCUGAUUCCGACAACUAUCAGAUUCCACACACCCCUGAUUGUCUUUCAUAUGUUGUUAAAGUGUAGAAUUUAAAUAUAAGGACAUCAUCUUUAUAUAUUUCCGUGUGCACAUUUUCCAAUGGAAGGUCUAAGUAUACAUCUACACAUCUCGGGAAAAUUGAGGGAGCAUUCUUAAGACCAAAUGGUAAACGACGCCAUUCGUAUUUCGCACUAUUAAUUGAAAAUGCUGUUUUUCCCUAUCUUAUUUCCUAAUCCUGACCUAAUGAAAUCUGGAUUUCAUCUUUCUCAAGAAAAUCAAAAUCUUUCAUUUUGUCAAUCUCCAAGGCUUUUAAUUUAAAUCCUUUUGUCGCUGGUGCCUUACGUUGGGCGCCAGUUAAAUAUUCUAUAUAUUUUGAGAAUAAAAAACUAUUUUUAUUUAGUUUACUUAGAAGUGAACUUUCUUUUUUUACUAUGUUCCUUUUUUGAUACAAUGUUUACAAACAUAAAUAUUAGUUAAGUACAGUAUAGUCCGCAUAUAAGAAACUUUGAAAAUGCCACUAAUAUUUUUCUUAUAUCCCGUUGUUCUUUUAGCCGGAGUCCGUAUAUAAGAAAUAGUUUCUUAUAUGCGGAUAUCUUACAAAUUUCAUGCACAAACUUCUUAUAACCGUACAUCGCGUUAUGUUGCACGAAAACAAAUCUUUUAUUUGAUUUCAUUUAUUCCAUUCAAUAUUUUAAUAAAAAAAAAACAAUAAACAUUAACGAAAAUUAACAAAACUUUAAAUUCAUAGAAAAUGCAUAUUAUAUGUAUAGGAUCUUAAAAAGUCGGCACUUUGCGACAUUUACUUUUUAUAAUAACUAUUGCAUGUUUUGUUUAUGUACCUAUAAAUUUAUAAUUUUUUUUGACGUUGAAAAGAUAUCAUUUAUUUUUAUUUUUUUGUCACGUUCAUUAAAGAGAAUUUUCUCAAUAUUUACUAAGUUAUCAUCAUCACUUAAAUAUUGCUUCAAUACAAACAAGGCUUCUCUGCUAGGUGGCACUGCAUUAUCUGCAGAGUCUUCUAUAACAUCUCCACUCUCAUCUUCUAGUAUUUCGUCUAUUAUAUCAUUUAUUUAUUAUAUUUUCGCUUAUAACCCCAAAACAGUUCUCCUUUUCCAAAUCAGCUAAAUUUUCGAAAAAGGAGUUAUUGGCUUGAAUCUCGCAAAAAUCAUCAUUUGAGGCACGGCUUUCGAUUUCACAAUAAAUAUUGUCUGAGGUAUUAUAAUGAUUUGAGUCCAUUACACCUUUUGCUGCUUGUAUCUGUACGCGAUAAAAAAGAUAAUAAAAUUCAAUGUCAAAUUGCAAAAGACGUUAAUAAAAGCAUCGCUCGAUAAUUUUCACGGAGCAGUAAAGCAGAAUAAUUGUACGAAAGGCACAGAAAAUCACCAGAAGGAAGAAAUAGAAACUGGCAAGACUUCUAAUCCCCAAACCAUUCGUCGUGAUUUCCAUAAUCGGAACAUCCGUAAAAAGCCAUUUGUAAAUAAUACUAACAGAACGAAAAGACUUGAAUUUGUAAAACUGCACGAGACCUAGACCGUUAUAUUCUCCGACGAGAGUAUAUUCAAUGUUUUUGGGUCCGAAGGACGUGAAAAGUAUGGAGAAAAGCAAAUUCAGAGCUCGAUAUUCAAAACAUUACCGGCAGAGUUAAAUAUGGUGGUGGCUCAAUAAUGGUGUAGGGCUGUAUGGCGGCUUCUGGUAUAGGAAAGCUGUUUCUGAUUGAAAGGAUAAUGGAUAAAUCUGUUUAUCUCAWCAUUUUAAAGGAUAAUUUAAAGCAAAGAGUAUUAAAAUUGAGCGAUCAUUUAUCUUCCAACAUUACAAUGACAAUAAGCAUGCAGCUCUAGUUGUCAAGGAAUAGCUGCUGUAUAACACACCAAGGCAACCGGCAGAUUUUAAUGUUAUUGAACACUUGUGGGAACAUCUCGAUAGACAAAUAAGGAAACAUGAAAUAAAAGGCAAAGAUGACUUAAAGAAAGCACUUAUGGAGUAAUGGUGAUAGAUUCCAAUUUCUCUAUGCCAUCGCGGUUAACCCUUAUGUUAGUAACCAACUUUAUCGACGUCUUUUUGCAACCGGUUACCGGGGUACCCACGAUCUGAUCGGUGACAAUUUAAAGAAAAAAAAYAACAACGUAGAAUCGUGAAUGGCAUCUGAAAUCUAUUUGUUCGGAGCCGAGCAGACGCCGUUCGUGAGAGAAAACUCAAGGUAAUUCACGAGCCAGAAGAUUCUAAAGAGACACAAGAAAAGACUGAAGAGAAUUCAGCAGUGGAAGAAGAAGUUGAGAGUAGCGAGAGUGAGGAUGACGACAAUAGAGUAGAAACAGCUAAGCCUGAAGGAAGAACUCAAGAACCAUCUGGGAGUUUUAUUCCCAAAGAUAAAACAGUGUGGAACCAAACUCCACCAACUCAACAUCAGACCGCAGCUCAUAAUGUUGUACGCCAGCGGAGUUGACCUCAUCGCAGUACGGAAAUGUUGUCGUGUAAUCGUUCGUCACACAAAAAAAAAGCUGAAACAAUUUUCCAAGAGUUCAAUGCUCACCAUCCAAACUCACAGCAUCAAUGGAAGCCCGUUACGAUACCCGAAAUUUAUUCGUUCUUCGGUAUCUUGAUUUGGGCUGCAGCAAACAAUUCGAACACAGAUCAUACAUUUGACAUGUGGCACUCAAAUUCUUAUUCGCUGUAUCACGCGAUGAUGGGAUUGACGAGAUUCCAUAAUAUUUUGCGUUUUUUUGCGAUUCGACGAUAAUACUCGAAGCGAACGUAAAAAAGAAGACAAGACAGCUCCAAUUCGUGAUGUGUGGACAAUGUUAAAUCUAAAUUUAGCUCAGAUGUACAACCCAACAGCUAACUUAACGAUUGAUGAACAGCUUUAUUCAUACCAUGGUUGUACUGGAUUUACUCAAUAUAUUCCAUCGAAACCAGCUAAGUAUGGUAUAAAGAUCUGGUGGAUUUGUGAUGCAGAAAAUGCAUAUCCUUUGCAAGGGAUCAUGUGCACUGGUAAAACAAUUAAUACUCGAGGAAAAAAAUCAGAGUGAAAGAGUAGCUAAAGAAUUGGCGGCUCCGUGCCGAGGYAGUGGUAGAAACAUCUGCAUGGAUAACUUUUUUACUACUGUACCAGUUGCUAAACAUUUGUUGUCGUGGAAUAUUACCAUUGUUGUGACAAAGAAUGCCGUUGAAAGUGUAUUCGGCCAUACACUGACAGAAACAGUCGUGAUAAAUCCUGGUCCAGAGACUGCAAAAGAUAAAACCGGUAGGAACAAAGUACCAGGAUCUUGUCAUUCCCGCAAUGCUUUACCAAUAAGAAGACGGCGAAAGACACGGAAGGCCUGUGCCAAUUCUCACCAACCUUUUUGUGACGAGACCUCAGUUAAUCGUGUACAAUGUGUUCAAUGUCAUUAAUUAUAAAAAAAAAGUGUAAUAUUUCUUUAUUUUUUUUUUUUAAUAAAAUUUAGUUGCAUGCAUUAACAGAAAUUAUAUACAAUUUAUUUCCUAAGCUUUCCACCCGGGUACCCGGUUGCUAAUCGGGCGAAGGCUAGAGUUUUAGCUUAUUAAAAAAACAUAAAUAAAUAAAUAAAUCAAUUAAAUGAACUCACAAAAGGUUUUCUUUUAAGUUAAAACCGUUGAUUUGAGAGCUUAAAAUGAAAUAUUAAAUUUUUUUUAAGCUAUUCACACAAUAAGGGUUAAAAUCUGUCAAAACGAGUAAAGGCUAUCCACCGAAAUAUUAACAGUUCAUCAUAAUUAAAAAAAAUUUCAUGAAUUCGGUUUUUGAUUG